rnacentral:misc_RNA from 1 species
GAUGAAGAACGUAGCGAAAUGCGAUAAGUAAUGUGAAUUGCAGAAUUCUGUGAAUCAUCGAAUCUUUGAACGCACAUUGCGCCCGCCAGUAUUCUGGCGGGCAUGCCUGUUCGAGCGUCAUUUCAACCAUCAAGCCCCAGGCUUGUGUUGGGGACCUGCGGCUGCCGCAGGCCCUGAAAACCAGUGGCGGGCUCGCUGUCACACCGGGCGUAGUAGAUUUUAUCUCGCUCAGGGCGUGCUGCGGGUUCCGGCCGUUAAAAAGCCUUUUUUACCCAAGGUUGACCUCGGAUCAGGUAGGAAGACCCGCUGAACUUAAGCAUAUCAAUAAGCGGAGGA